rnacentral:rRNA from 1 species
GACGAACGCUGGCGGCGUGCUUAACACAUGCAAGUCGAACGAAGAGCGAUGGAAGCUUGCUUCUAUCAAUCUUAGUGGCGAACGGGUGAGUAACGCGUAAUCAACCUGCCCUUCAGAGGGGGACAACAGUUGGAAACGACUGCUAAUACCGCAUACGAUCUAACCUCGGCAUCGAGGAUGGAUGAAAGGUGGCCUCUAUUUAUAAGCUAUCACUGAAGGAGGGGAUUGCGUCUGAUUAGCUAGUUGGAGGGGUAACGGCCCACCAAGGCGAUGAUCAGUAGCCGGUCUGAGAGGAUGAACGGCCACAUUGGGACUGAGACACGGCCCAGACUCCUACGGGAGGCAGCAGUGGGGAAUCUUCCGCAAUGGACGAAAGUCUGACGGAGCAACGCCGCGUGAGUGAUGACGGCCUUCGGGUUGUAAAGCUCUGUUAAUCGGGACGAAAGGCCUUCUUGCGA